CGAUUAUGGCUCAGAUUGAACGCUGGCGGGAUGCUUUACACAUGCAAGUCGAACGGCAGCACGGACUUCGGUCUGGUGGCGAGUGGCGAACGGGUGAAUGUAAUGUAUCCGGAACGUGCCUAGUGGCGGGGGAUAACUACGCGAAAGCGUGGCUAAUACCGCGCUUACGCCCCCUUCGGGGAAAGCGAGGACCUUCGGGCCUCGCACCUUCGUGGCCGAUAUCGGAUUAGCUAGUUGGUGGGGUAACGGCUCACCAAGGCGACGAUCCGUAGCUGGUUUGAGAGGACGACCAGCCACACUGGGACUGAGACACGGCCCAGACUCCUACGGGGGGGCAGCAGUGGGGAAUUUUGGACAAUGGGGAAACCCACAAUCCAGCCAUCCGUGUGCGAUGAAGGCCUUCGGGUUGUAAGCACUUUGGCAGGAAAGAAACGGCACGGGAUAAUACCCCGUGCAACUGACGGUACACUUACCUGCAGAAUAAGCACCGGCUAACCGUGCCAGCAGCCGCCGCAGGCAAUACGUAGGGUGCAAGCGUUAAUCGGAAUUACUGGGCGUAAAGCGUGCACAGGCGGUUCGGAAGAAAGAUCAUGAAAUCCCAGAGCUUAACUUUGGAACUGCAUUUUUAACUACCGAGCUAGAGUGUGUCAGAGGAGUGGAAUUCCGCGUGUAGCAGUGAAAUGCGUAGAUAUGCGGAGGAACACCGAUGGCGAAGGCAGCCUCCUGGGAUAACACUGACGCUCAUGCACGAAAGCGUGGGGAGCAAACAGGAUUAAGAUACCUGGUAGUCCACGCCCUAAACGAUGUCAACUAGCUGUUGGGGCCUUCGGGCCUUGGUGGCCGCCCCGGCUAACGCGUGAAGUUGACCGCCUGGGGAGUACGGUCAUAAGAUUAAAACUCAAAGGAAUUGACGGGGACCCGCACAAGCGGUGGAUGAUGUUGGUUAAUUCAAAUGGCAACGCGAAAAACCGCACUACCCUUGACCAUCAUGGAAUCCCGAAGAGAUUUGGGAGUGCUCGCAAGAGAACCGGAACACAGGUGCUGCAUGGCUGUCGUCAGCUCGUGUCGUGAGAUGUUGGGUUAAGUCCUAACGAGCAUAGCCGCCGUGUCAUUGGAUUGCUACACGAAAGAGGGCACUCUCAAUGAGACUGCCGGUGACAAACCGGAGGAAAGGUGGGGAUGACGUCAAGUCCUCAUGGCCCUUAUGGUAGGAGCUUCACGUCUUCGUGGUGGACGGGGGGUCGCCAACCCGCGAGAGGCCAAUCCAGAAACCCGAUCAUCGAUCCGGAUCACGCAGUCUGCAACUCGACUGCGUGAAGUCGGAAUCGUUAAGUAAUCGCGGAUCAGCAUGUCGCGGUGAAUACGUUCCCGGGUCUUAUUUUACCGCCCGUCACACCAUGGGAAUUGGGUUUUACCAGAAGUAGUUAAGCCUAACCGUAGGAGGGCGAUUACACGACGGAUUCAUGACACGGGGGUAAGUCGUAACAAGGUAG
rnacentral:rRNA from 1 species